UACGGUAGGGUCCGAGCGUUGUCCGGAAUUACUGGGCGUAAAGAGCUCGUAGGUGGUUUGUCGCGUUGUUCGUGAAAACUCACAGCUCAACUGUGGGCGUGCGGGCGAUACGGGCAGACUGGAGUACUGCAGGGGAGACUGGAAUUCCUGGUGUAGCGGUGGAAUGCGCAGACUAUCAGGAGGAACACCGGUGGCGAAGGCGGGUCUCUGG
rnacentral:rRNA from 1 species